rnacentral:pre_miRNA from 1 species
CUGGUCUCAAGUGGUGGGUAGAUGUCUGGCAAGGAACUGUCUAGCACCAUUUGAAAUCAGUGC